AGUGAACGCUGGCGGUAGGCCUAACACAUGCAAGUCGAACGGCAGCACAGUAAGAGCUUGCUCUUACGGGUGGCGAGUGGCGGACGGGUGAGGAAUACAUCGGAAUCUACUUUUUCGUGGGGGAUAACGUAGGGAAACUUACGCUAAUACCUCAUACGACCUACGGGUGAAAGCAGGGGAUCUUCGGACCUUGCGCGAUUGAAUUAGCCGAUGUCGGAUUAGCUAGUUGGCGGGGUAAAGGCCCACCAAGGCGACGAUCCGUAGCUGGUCUGAGAGGAUGAUCAGCCACACUGGAACUGAGACACGGUCCAGACUCCUACGGGAGGCAGCAGUGGGGAAUAUUGGACAAUGGGCGCAAGCCUGAUCCAGCCAUACCGCGUGAGUGAAGAAGGCCUUCGGGUUGUAAAGCCCUUUUGUUGGGAAAGAAAAGCAGCAGGUUAAUACCCCGCUGUUCUGACGGUACCCAAAGAAUAAGCACCGGCUAACUUCGUG
rnacentral:rRNA from 1 species